GAUGAACGCUGGCGGCGUGCCUAAUACAUGCAAGUCGAGCGAACGGACGAGAAGCUUGCUUCUCUGAUGAUAGCGGCGGACGGGUGAGUAACACGUGGAUAACCUACCUAUAAGACUGGGAUAACUUCGGGAAACCGGAGCUAAUACCGGAUAAUAUUUUGAACCGCAUGGUUCAAAAGUGAAAGACGGUCUUGCUGUCACUUAUAGAUGGAUCCGCGCUGCAUUAGCUAGUUGGUAAGGUAACGGCUUACCAAGGCAACGAUGCAUAGCCGACCUGAGAGGGUGAUCGGCCACACUGGAACUGAGACACGGUCCAGACUCCUACGGGAGGCAGCAGUAGGGAAUCUUCCGCAAAGGGCGAAAGCCUGACGGAGCAACGCCGCGUGAGUGAUGAAGGUCUUCGGAUCGUAAAACUCUGUUAUUAGGGAAGAACAUAUGUGUAAGUAACUGUGCACAUCUUGACGGUACCUAAUCAGAAAGCCACGGCUAACUACGUG
rnacentral:rRNA from 1 species